AACGAACGCUGGCGGCGUGCCUAACACAUGCAAGUCGAGGGAGAAAGGGAGCUUCGGCUCCCGAGUAAACCGGCGCACGGGUGAGUAAUACGUAGGUAACGUACCUUCGAGUCUGGGAUAACCAGUCGAAAGAUUGGCUAAUACCGGAUACGAUCGGAAGAGCCUCGGCCCUUCCGAUGAAAGAUGGCCUCUGCUUGCAAGCUAUCACUCGAGGAGCGGCCUGCGCACCAUUAGCUUGUUGGUGAGGUAACGGCUCACCAAGGCUGAGAUGGCUAGCUGGUCUGAGAGGAUGGCCAGCCACACUGGGACUGAGACACGGCCCAGACUCCUACGGGAGGCAGCAGUGGGGAAUAUUGCGCAAUGGGCGAAAGCCUGACGCAGCGACGCCGCGUGGGUGAUGAAGGCCUUCGGGUCGUAAAGCUCUGUCGGGAGGGAAGAAGUUCUGACGGUACCUCCCAAGAAAGCACCGGCUAACUCCGUGC
rnacentral:rRNA from 1 species